CCAGCCAUGCCGCGUGAGUGAUGAAGGCCUUAGGGUCGUAAAGCUCUUUCGCCUGAGAAGAUAAUGACUGUAGCAGGUAAAGAAACCCCGGCUAACUCCGUGCCAGCAGCCGCGGUAAUACGGAGGGGGUUAGCGUUGUUCGGAAUUACUGGGCGUAAAGCGCGCGUAGGCGGACUGGAAAGUUGGGGGUGAAAUCCCAGGGCUCAACCCUGGAACUGCCUCCAAAACUAUCAAUCUAGAGUUCGAGAGAGGUGAGUGGAAUUCCGAGUGUAGAGGUGAAAUUCGUAGAUAUUCGGAGGAACACCAGUGGCGAAGGCGGCUCACUGGCUCGAUACUGACGCUGAGGUGCGAAAGUGUGGGGAGCAAACAGGAUUAGAUACCCUGGUAGUCCACACCGUAAACGAUGAAUGCCAGUCGUCGGGUAGCAUGCUAUUCGGUGACACACCUAACGGAUUAAGCAUUCCGCCUGGGGAGUACGGUCGCAAGAUUAAAACUC
rnacentral:rRNA from 1 species